GACGAACGCUGGCGGCGUGCUUAACACAUGCAAGUCGAACGGAAAGGCCCUGCUUUUGUGGGGUGCUCGAGUGGCGAACGGGUGAGUAACACGUGAGUAACCUGCCCUUGACUUUGGGAUAACUUCAGGAAACUGGGGCUAAUACCGGAUAGGAGCUCCUGCUGCAUGGUGGGGGUUGGAAAGUUUCGGCGGUUGGGGAUGGACUCGCGGCUUAUCAGCUUGUUGGUGGGGUAGUGGCUUACCAAGGCUUUGACGGGUAGCCGGCCUGAGAGGGUGACCGGCCACAUUGGGACUGAGGUACGGCCCAGACUCCUACGGGAGGCAGCAGUGGGGAAUAUUGCACAAUGGGCGGAAGCCUGAUGCAGCAACGCCGCGUGCGGGAUGACGGCCUUCGGGUUGUAAACCGAUUUCGCCUGUGACGAAGCGUGAGUGACGGUAAUGGGUAAAGAAGCACCGGCUAACUACGUG
rnacentral:rRNA from 1 species